AUGGACCACAGAGCUCCUCCAACUGCGCCUGAGUUGCCUGAGCGCCUGCCGGCCGAGGAGAAGCACCUGCUGAGCAGCCUGGCCGCGGCGCACACCUUGGCCCGAAUCCUGCGGCCCUGCUACGGGCCCCAGGGGCGGCAGAAGCUCCUGGUCACCGCCAAAGGCGACACUGUGCUCACGGGGCACGCCGCGGCCAUCCUGCGGGCGCUGGAGCUGGAGCACCCGGCCGCUCGGCUGCUACGGGAGGCGGCGCAGGGCCAGGCGGAGCAGAGCGGCGACGGCGCGGCCUUCGUGGUCCUCCUGGCCCAGGCGCUGCUGGCGCAGGCCGAGCGCCUGCUGCGGGCCGGCCUGCCGCGCGCCCAGCUCCGCGAGGCCUACGCGGCGGUGGCCGCGGAGACGCUGGCCCUGCUGCCGUCGCUGGCUGUCCGCGCGCUGGGGCCCCUGGAGGACCCGGUCUGGGCGCUGCGCUCGGUCAUGAACACGCACGCGCUCUGGCGCACCGACCACCUGGCCGGGCUGGUGGCGCACGCGUGCUGGGCCACGCGGGAGCUGGACGGCGGCUUCCGGCCGGAGCGCGUGGGCGUGUGCGCGCUGCCCGGCGCGCGGCAGGAGGACUCGUGCCUGCUGCCCGGCCUGGCCGUGCCGGGCAAACCCUGCGGCCAGGUGACCAUGGUGCUGAGCGGCGCCCGCGUGGCUCUCUUGGCCUGCGACUUCGGGCCCGCCCACCCCCUUGCGCCGGCCACCGCCCGGCUCUCCAGCCCCGAUGACCUGAUCCGGUUCCGGAAAGGCAGCGAGAGUCUGAUAGAAAAGCAGGUGGCCCAGCUGGCCGCUGCGGCUAACGUGGUGGUGGUCUCGGGGGACAUAGACGAGAAGACCCUCACGCACGCGGACAAGUACGGCCUCAUGGUGAUCCAGGUCGCAUCCCGGCGGGAGAUGGUUUAUCUGAGCGAGGUGCUGCGCACCCCUCUGACGCCUUACCUCGCUCCUCCGCUGGAGCCAGGGAAGUGUCAGAGGGUGUACGGGCAGGAGCUGGGAGAAGCUUUGGCCGUGGUGUUUGAGUGGGAGAGUCCAGGCACCCCUGCCCUCACCUUGGUGCUCAGGGGAGCCACCGCCCAUGGGCUACGGGGGGCUGAGCAGGCCGCCUACAGCGGCAUUGACGCCUACUUCCAGCUGUGCCAGGACCCCAGACUGCUCCCCGGAGCUGGGGCCACAGAGAUGGCCCUGGCGAAGAUGCUCUCGGAGAAAGGGACCAAACUGGAAGGGCCCAAUGGCCCCACCUUCCUGGCGUUUGCCCAGGCCCUGCAGUCACUUCCAGAAACCUUGGCAGAGAACGCAGGCUUAACUGUCCCUGACGUGAUGGCAGAAAUGAACGGAGCUCACCAGGCUGGAAAUUUCCUCAUAGGAGUCGGGGUCGAGGGGAUAAUAAACGUGGCCCAGGAAGAGGUGUGGGACACCCUGAUAGCUAAAGCCCAAGGACUUCGAGCCGUGGCUGACGUGGUUCAACAGCUCCUGAUGGUUGAUGACGUUGUCUUGGCCAAGAAAAGUCCCGCAUAUCCGCAGGAACUGAAUCCUGAACCCAAGAAGAGGAGUGCGUGUCCCCUGUGA
rnacentral:lncRNA from 1 species